rnacentral:tRNA from 1 species
AGGGGUGUAGCUCAGUGGUAGAGCACUUGCCGAGUCUGCAUGAGGACUUGGGUUUGAUCCCCAGCACCACAA